rnacentral:rRNA from 1 species
UACGGGGGGUGCGAGCGUUGUCCGGAAUCACUGGGCGUAAAGGGCGUGUAGGUGGCUUUGUAAGUUUGCGGUGAAAGCCCGGGGCUCAACCCCGGGUCUGCCGUGGAUACUGCAAGGCUUGAGUACUGUAGAGGCAGGUAGAAUAUCGGGUGUAGCGGUGGAAUGCGUAGAGAUCCGAUAGAAGACCGGUGGCGAAGGCGGCCUGCUGGGCAGUAACUGACACUGAGGCGCGACAGCGUGGGGGAGCAAACAGG